AUUUCGUUCUUCUAUUUACUCAGAAUCACUUUGCGUUGCUGAACAGAUACUCGCCAAGUCAGAUACAGCGAUAAAAAGAUAAAUACUUUAAAACUUUAGAAAGAACUGGUGUUUUUGAAUUGAGGUGAUAUUUUCAUAUUUUCAAUCAUAUCUGCUUCAACAUCUCCUGAUAAGAGGCGUGAUUUGUAACAUAUAAAUGAUGAACAAAACGAUUGUCCUGAUUUUGAUCGUCAUGGUCGCGUCCACCGUCCAGGCUUGCCAUCCAGGAGUUUGUAGCCGUGUAAGAUGUCAUGAUGACACUCUUCAAUGUGGUCCAGGAGAAAUGAUUCAACCCCACGCAGGAUGGUGUGGUUGUUGCGGCAAAUGUGUGCCAUUUCCUGAAGCUAGAUGAUCGAAAAGUCUAACAUUGUCUACUAUUCAAGAAUGGAUUUCAAGAUGAUGUUUUCUGUUCUUCUUCUGUUACGAAUAUAUUUCAAUCCGAUUUGAAAGCGACGACUCUAGUGCAAGAUUUACAUACAUAUUUUUACAGUGUUAGAAUGUAAAGCUUUAUUGAGCAUCAAGCAACUAAAUAAACCUUUAAUUCUUAAAGUCA